UGGGAACUGACAACUGCGAUGUGCCUCUGUCAGCACUCCAACCACUGGGGACGGCAUGACAGAUUAAACACCAACUAUGUGCCAGGCCAGGCCCUGUGCUAGAUGCUGGGGCAGUGACAGACCCUGAGUGGAUGGGAGGCAUCAGAGGGGUAAUUACAAGGCAGGGAGACAAGCGGUGGCCAUGUUGGGGUCACCCUACCUGGCCUGGGGGGGUCAUGAUGUAAGGACACACCAGCUGCCUCAUUAGCAGAGUGACAGUGUCUGUCCCCGACUUCACAUCCGGAUGUCUGAGCUUUACACCUUAACUCUGUGAGCUUAGGCAAAUCCCUCCCUCCUCUCUGAGCCUUAGUUUCUGCAUCUGCAAAAGGGGUUAAUUCCUUACAACAAAGUGCCAGGGUCCUUGUGGUAGCUGCCUAAGUGGUACCCGUUGUUAGCAUUGUUUAUGGUCGCUAUCAACAGGUAAGUAGGAAAAAGCUAGGGGAAGGGAAGGUUCCCACAGAAGGGACUGCACAGGCCACCACAUGGAGACUUGAGAGAGAGGAGCAAACAGAGAACAUGAAGGAGCUCCAGGCUGCUGGAGAGCAAACCCUCCUGUUCCAGCCUCGGCUCUUUAAUGAAAAUUGUCAGUCAAGACUCCGUCAUCACCUUCCAGCAAAGAAUGAGUGGGGAGAUCUGAGAAUCGAUACUGAACAGCUUCAGUACUACGAUGCCAUAAUGGGGCUGUGAGCUCAGCGGAAAGCCCCCCGCCCAGUUUUUUUUGGAAGUGGUCAUAGAAUCUCUCUGGAGAAACAACAUGGAAAUGGAGACCAAAAGAGGGAAGGAGGGAUGCCACCAGAUGACACUGGGAUCCCGGAAGACGGAACACUGUGUGCAACGGGCAAAGUGUUCUCCACAGGCUCAGUACUUUACAGACGUCACCUCACGUAACCCACGCCACAACCGGGAGAAAGACAUGAUUGGCGUUGUACCCACGAGGAAACAGAGAGGGAAAGGAGCUGUCCAGGACCAGGGGGUUGGUCUGGGCCAGACAGGGUUUGAGGAUUCAGGCCCCAAGGGACGGGGAGGAAGAA